AUUGAACGCUGGCGGCAGGCCUAACACAUGCAAGUCGAGCGGAUGAUGGGAGCUUGCUCCCGGAUUCAGCGGCGGACGGGUGAGUAAUGCCUAGGAAUCUGCCUGGUAGUGGGGGACAACGUUUCGAAAGGAACGCUAAUACCGCAUACGUCCUACGGGAGAAAGCAGGGGACCUUCGGGCCUUGCGCUAUCAGAUGAGCCUAGGUCGGAUUAGCUUGUUGGUGAGGUAAUGGCUCACCAAGGCGACGAUCCGUAACUGGUGUGAGAGGAUGAUCAGUCACACUGGAACUGAGACACGGUACAGACUCCUACGGGAGGCAGCAGUGGGGAAUAUUGGACAAUGGGCGAAAGCCUGAUCCAGCCAUGCCGCGUGUGUGAAGAAGGUCUUCGGAUUGUAAAGCACUUUAAGUUGGGAGGAAGGGUUGUAGAUUAAUACUCUGCAAUUUUGACGUUACCGACAGAAUAAGCACCGGCUAACUCUGUGCCAGCAGCCGCGGUAACAC
rnacentral:rRNA from 1 species